rnacentral:lncRNA from 1 species
UCAGCCUGUGCACAGUCCCCUGGCCAGGUGCCUGUGAGGGUGAAGGUCCUCCCCCACUCUCCAGUCCCCCUCCCUGGCUCUGCCUGCUCACUGACUUGCCCUGGAUCCAGAGUCAGUGGAGCAGAGGGAUCGGGGCUCAUGUCCCCAGCCUGGCUAGCAGUGGGCUAGGGCCAUGUUUUCCUUAUGGCACUUAUUUAUGGCCUGCCUAUCCCCCUUCUCCAAAGUGCAGAUGAUGGCGGCUGUUCUGAUUUCCCUUCCCACACCAGCAGGAUGGCGGGCGGCCUUGGAGCGUAUAGGCCCUGAGGUCAAAUGUCUGUCGCCCAGGGCUUGUCUCCAGGGCUUUCCUUUUCCAACAUGCCUGAGUGUCUGGAGGGAAACCUUUCCUCGACCUUAGGUUCAGUGUUGGGGGCCUGCAAAUUUCACCGACAAUAGAGCAGCAAAGACAAGGUUGUUCACAGGCCUCAGGAGCGGCGGGGUUUACGUGCUUAACUAGUAGGAAACGGGAGUGGGGAGAGGCAGAGGUGCCAUUGCCAGCUCUCCUCGGCUCAGGCUCCUGGACUCCUUUCCAGUUAGGCCUCGCUUCCAGGCUCCCUGUUCAUCCCUGCCCUGUCCAACUGCAGCACAGCCUGAGGGAUCAGGCUCGCCAGAAGUCCCCCUCCCCCACCUCUGAGAGCUGGCCCCCACCUCUGGUCACCUGGUGAUGGUGAAGGUCCCCCCUCCCUCUCCAGUCCUCCUCCCUGGCUCUGCCUUCUAGUAGCCUGGCCUCUACUUCUGAUCUCCUGGCCUGACCUCCGGUCACCUGACCUCCAUAUCGAAUCAGGCUUCUCAUCCUCCAUCAUCCCCAGAUGACGUGGGAUUUCCUGUCUGCCUUCAGAGACUCCUGUUAGGUCAGCUGAGGCAGACCCCCGUGCCCUGGUGCAUGCCCCGGUGCUCUUCCAUGUGCUCACCUGGACCACCUGUGAAUUCCCACCUUUCCUUGUUCUGUUGUGUGAGCCGGUGGGUCUCUCUCCCAUUGCACUGUCCCGUUGCACUGGUCCCUGGGCCUGUCUUGACAGUUCUCUUGAAUAAAGUUCGGCUUCGUACCGUCUUUAAGAAGUGUUAUUGACCAAUUUUUAAACAUUUUUGUUUAUUUAUUUUUUACAACAGGCCCAAGUGGCCUGCUGUCUUCUUGACUGGAGGCCCCUCCCCUGGGGAAUUUAUGGCAGUUUCAAUCUCCAGUCUCCUUCCUGGGAGUGGAGCAGCCCCUUCAGAGAGAAGGGAUUUAUGGAACCUCUUUUCCAGAAGAUUCUGUCUCACAUACAGACAGCUCCCAAAAGG